AUUUCCUUUUACGAUUUCCAUUUCCUUAUUCGAUUUUCAUUUCAUUAUUCGGUUUCUUUUUCCUUUUUCAAUAUUCAUUUCCUUUUUCGGUUUCUAUUUCCUUAUUCGGUUUCUAUUUCCUAAUUGGAUUUUCGUUUCCUUAUUCGAUUUCCAUUUCCUUAUUCGAUUUUCAUUUCCUAAUUCGGUUUCUUUUUCCUUUUUCAAUAUUCAUUUCCUUUUUCGGUUUCUAGUUCCUUAUUCGGUUUCUAUUUCCUUAUUGGAUUUUCAUUUCCUUAUUCAAUUUCCAUUUCCUUAUUCGGUUUCUUUUUCCUUAUUCGGUUUCUUUUUCCUUUUUCAAUAUUCAUUUCCUUUUUCGGUUUCUAUUUCCUUAUUCGGUUUCUAUUUCCUUUUUCGAUUUUCAUUUCCUUAUUCGGUUUCCAUUUCCUUUUUCGAUAUUCAAAUUUUGAAAAAUAUUUCAAGUCCAAACUGAAUUUUUUUUUUCCUUCAAAUUUUUUU
rnacentral:lncRNA from 1 species